rnacentral:rRNA from 1 species
CCUACGGGAGGCAGCAGUGGGGAAUAUUGGGCAAUGGAGGAAACUCUGACCCAGCGACGCCGCGUGCGGGAUGAAGGCCUUCGGGUUGUAAACCGCUUUCAGUAGGGAAGAAGCGAAAGUGACGGUACCUACAAAAGAAGCACCGGCUAACUAUGUGCCAGCAGCCGCGGUAAUACAUAGGGUGCAAGCGUUGUCCGGAAUUAUUGGGCGUAAAGAGCUCGUAGGUCGUUUGUUACGUCGGAUGUGAAAACCUGAGGCUCAACCUCAGGCCUGCAUUCGAUACGGGCAAACUAGAGUUUGGUAGGGGAGACUGGAAUUCCUGGUGUAGCGGUGGAAUGCGCAGAUAUCAGGAGGAACACCAAUGGCGAAGGCAGGUCUCUGGGCCAAUACCGACACUGAGGAGCGAAAGUCUGGGGAGCGAACAGGAUUAGAUACCCUGGUAGUCCAGACCGUAAACGGUGGGCACUAGUUGUGGGAACCUUCCACGGUUUCUGCGACGCAGCUAACGCAUUAAGUGCCCCGCCUGGGGAGUACGAUCGCAAGAUUAAAACUCAAAUGAAUUGACGGCUGAGAGNGCGAGACGACACGAGGAGUAGG